rnacentral:lncRNA from 1 species
CUUAGCCAGAGUUACACCUCCUUCACUAAGUGGCCCACAUCCAGUGACUGAUUAGCCAGAAGUAUGAAGACCUGGCUACCUCACUUAAAGUAAGGACCAUACACAGGACCAUCACCACCUCAGAAAUCCCCAUCAAAUCAGAUAUGCUUAAUUGUGAUUGCAUCUUACCAAAACCUCUUUUUCCACUCAACCAUUAUGUUUUCCUUUCCCUUCAGUAGGUUGUUACCACAAAAGCAUGCCUGAAUCUUAAAUCCUAUCUCAGGUAACCAAGCUAAGAUGAUGCCUUUCCACUGUAAAAAUAUGAAUGGAUUUUGAAUGUAGUGAAGAUAACAUUUUAUAUCUCUCUUUUAGAGCCGAAAAAUGUUCUGCUUCCUAACUGGUCUUCACACAGACAGAAAGAAGGUUACGUAAAACAAUUAAUCUCAAUAAAAACUCAUUUUAUGGAUUACUUACAUACAUUCAGUACGGAAAUACAGACAGAGAUUGAGGGUCAGGUGAAGUUUUAUAGCUGGACAACCAAACUGCAAAGUCUUACACUUCAAAGAAAUCUUCUCCACUGGAACAUAGUUAAAAAAAUGUGAGUAAUCUUUUAAAGAUUUAGUAUAUCAGAUUGAUCUCUACAUGUAUAAU